GAUGAACGCUAGCGGCAGGCUUAACACAUGCAAGUCGAGGGGUAUCACACUUUCGGGCGUGAGAGACCGGCGCACGGGUGCGUAACGCGUAUGCAAUCUACCUUUUGCAGAGGGAUAGCCCAGAGAAAUUUGGAUUAAUACCUCAUAGUAUAGAACAAUCGCAUGAUUGAACUAUUAAAGUCACAACGGCAAAAAGAUGAGCAUGCGUCCCAUUAGUUAGUUGGUAAGGUAACGGCUUACCAAGACUACGAUGGGUAGGGGUCCUGAGAGGGAGAUCCCCCACACUGGUACUGAGACACGGACCAGACUCCUACGGGAGGCAGCAGUGAGGAAUAUUGGACAAUGGGCGCAAGCCUUGAUCCAGCCAUGCCGCGUGCAGGAUGACGGUCCUAUGGAUUGUAAACUGCUUUUGUACAGGAAGAAACACCUCUACGUGUAGAGACUUGACGGUACUGUAAAGAAUAAAGGAUCGGCUAAACUCCGUGCC
rnacentral:rRNA from 1 species